GAGGGAAGCAUUACUACACAAUGUGGCAAACAGUAUUUGAAGUGGAUACGAAAUACGUGCCGAUCAAACCUAUUGGGAGAGGAGCUUAUGGUGUGGUUUGUUCCUCAGUGAAUAAGGAGACAAAUGAGAAAGUUGCUAUCAAGAAAAUUAAUAACGUGUUUUCGAAUAGAAUUGAUGCACUUAGAACUCUGAGAGAAUUGAAGCUAUUGCGGCAUAUAAGGCAUGAGAAUGUGAUUGCUUUGAAGGAUGUGAUGAUGCCUAUUCACAGAAGUAGUUUCAAGGAUAUCUAUUUGGUUUAUGAGUUGAUGGAUACGGAUCUCAAUCAUAUCAUUAAGUCGCCGCAGCCUUUGUCUGAUGAUCAUUGCAAGUAUUUUCUUUUUCAGCUCCUUCGUGGCUUGAAAUAUCUCCAUUCAGCUAAUAUUCUUCACCGGGACUUGAAACCUGGGAAUCUCCUUGUGAAUGCCAACUGUGAGUUAAAGAUUUGUGACUUUGGACUGGCUAGGACUAGCAGAAACAAUGGGCAGUUCAUGACUGAAUAUGUUGUAACUCGUUGGUAUCGUGCACCGGAGCUACUUCUUUGCUGUGACAAUUAUGGAACAUCCAUUGAUGUCUGGUCUGUU
rnacentral:misc_RNA from 1 species